UGUGACAGAGUAGUGUGAUAAAUUUAAGAUUUAUUUAUAAAGUUUAUCUUUCUUUAGAA
rnacentral:tRNA from 2 species